AGAAGGGAGAAGAGAGAGCAAGAGAGAGAGAAAGAGAGACAUCUUAUCCUGCGUUCUUCACCUGGCUUUGAAAUUCUAUUGUUCUGUGCGUGUCUGUCAAGUGCGGCUUUUGAAAAAAAAAAAAAAUACAGCUGCCUGAGCCAGUUGCGGCCCAUCGAUUUGUGAGAUUGCGCGUGCUUGGUGUACUGCAUUGGUGUGUGCGCUUGUAUUUUGGGUGUACACGUAGGUGUGCGUGAGAGCUUGGCUCGCGACGAAAAGGGAAACAGUCCAGGUUGGUAGGUCCAAGCGGAGCGGGUUGUCCUCACGGCUCCCUUCGGCGAUCUUCUCACGCUCCGAACCACGAAACUUGCAACGUUAACGACAACGUCGGGAAGGGAUGGUCCCGUGCUCCAUGGCACCAAGGAGGAACCUACC